rnacentral:misc_RNA from 1 species
UUAUCUUUCACCUAAAAUUAUUUCGCAGCGGAUUAGUCGAUUGCGAGUGGGAGGCGAGGCUAUCGGACGUUCAUCGUAAGAAGCAACACGAGGAUUAUCCAUUUUACGUGGAAUACGAUACAAAUUACUGUCCACCUGGCCAUUUCGAAAUUGUCCGGGUAUAUUUCAAACCUCGGAAAACGUGCUAUAUAGAGACGAGGUUAAAGAUUAUCGUGAAAAUGAGCCCUGAAACGCAGAUAGUCGCUAUAACUGGCCGUGGAAUCGAAAAAAGAUUGAACAUAAUCGAACCGACUAUUCAAUUUCUGCCCACUAUUCCGUAUACGAAUAUUCAAGAAGUAGUUUUCACGAUCGAGAAUACUUGCAAUUAUCCUGUGGAGUUCUUCUGGCAUCAUUUGGACGAGUAAAGAUACGCUUAUGAGUUGCUCAGAAGUUACACCGGUUAAUUCUAUAUACUAGAAAUGAUCCAAGCGAUGAAAUCA